rfam:Ornithorhynchus anatinus chromosome 5, whole genome shotgun sequence.
AUGUGCUACUUUCAGCAACAUAUAUGCUAAAAUCAGAAUGAUGCAGAGAAGAUCAGCAUGGAUCCAGCACAAGGAAGACAUGUAAAUCUAUGAAGUGUUCCAUAUCUUU